rnacentral:tRNA from 1 species
GCCCUCGUAGCUCAGAGGAGGAGCAGCGGUUCGCGAAGCCGCAGGUCGCAGGUUCGAUUCCUGUCGAGGGCU